AUUGAACGCUGGCGGCAUGCCUUACACAUGCAAGUCGAACGGCAGCACGGGUGCUUGCACCUGGUGGCGAGUGGCGAACGGGUGAGUAAUACAUCGGAACAUGUCCUGUAGUGGGGGAUAGCCCGGCGAAAGCCGGAUUAAUACCGCAUACGAUCUACGGAUGAAAGCGGGGGACCUUCGGGCCUCGCCCUAUAGGGUUGGCCGAUGGCUGAUUAGCUAGUUGGUGGGGUAAAGGCCUACCAAGGCGACGAUCAGUAGCUGGUCUGAGAGGACGACCAGCAACACUGGGACGGAGACACGGCCCAGACUCCUACGGGAGGCAGCAGUGGGGAAUUGUGGACAAUGGGCGAAAGCCUGAUCCAGCAAUGCCGCGUGUGUGAAGAAGGCCUUCGGGUUGUAAAGCACUUUUGUCCGGAAAGAAAUCCUUGGCCCUAAUACGGUCGGGGGAUGACGGUACCGGAAGAAUAAGCACCGGCUAACUACGUG
rnacentral:rRNA from 1 species